rnacentral:tRNA from 1 species
GGACCCGUAGCUCAACUGGAUAGAGCAUCUGACUACGGAUCAGAAGGCUUGGGGUUCGAAUCCCUUCGGGUCCA